GGUAAUACACGAUAAUUUCUCCGGAACAAAGGUGUGAUUCCGCCAGAGGAUGAGUCUAUGUCCUAUUAGCUAGUUGGCAGUGUAAUGGACCACCAAGGCUAUGAUGGGUACGAGGCGUGAGAGCGUGUCCUCGAUCACUGGAACUGAGACACUGUCCAGACACCAACGGGUGGCUGCAGUCGAGAAUCUUCGGCAAUGGACGAAAGUCUGACCGAGCGAUGCCGCGUGUGUGAUGAAGGUCUUCGGAUUGUAAAGCACUGUAAGUUGGGAGGAAGUGUAUAGGGGUACUCCCCCAUAUUUGACCUAUCUUCAAAGUAAGGACGGGCUAAGUUCAUGCCAGCAGCCGCGGUAAGACGAACUGUCCAAACGUUAUUCGGAAUCACUGGGCUUAAAGGGUGCGUAGGCUGUCCGAUAAGUGGGGUGUGAAAUCCCUCAGCUCAACUGAGGAAUUGCGCUCCAAACUGUCAGACUCGAGGAAUGUAGGGGUAAGCGGAACUUGCGGUGGAGCGGUGAAAUGCUUUGAUAU
rnacentral:rRNA from 1 species